rnacentral:rRNA from 1 species
AUAGGGUGUAAGAAGCGAACGCAGGGAACUGAAACAUCUAAGUACCUGCAGGAAAGGACAUCAACCGAGACUCCGCAAGUAGUGGCGAGCGAACGCGGACCAGGCCAGUGGCAAUUGUGAUUAAAGUGGAACGCUCUGGAAAGUGCGGCCGUAGUGGGUGACAGCCCCGUACGCGUAGAUAUCACGAUUGUCCUAGAGUAGGGCGGGACACGAGAAAUCCUGUCUGAACAUGGGGAGACCACUCUCCAAGCCUAAGUACUCGUGCAUGACCGAUAGCGAACAAGUACCGUGAGGGAAAGGUGAAAAGCACCCCGACAAGGGGAGUGAAAUAGAACCUGAAACCGGAUGCCUACAAACAGUCGGAGGGGGCAACCCUGACGGCGUACCUUUUGUAUAAUGGGUCAACGACUUAGUGUAACAAGCAAGCUUAAGCCGGUAGGUGUAGGCGCAGCGAAAGCGAGUCUGAAUAGGGCGAUAUAGUUUGUUGCAUUAGACCCGAAACCGAGUGAUCUAGCCAUGAGCAGGUUGAAGGUUGGGUAACACCAACUGGAGGACCGAACCCGCAUCUGUUGCAAUAGAUUGGGAUGACUUGUGGCUAGGGGUGAAAGGCCAAUCAAACUCGGAAAUAGCUGGUUCUCCGCGAAAUCUAUUUAGGUAGAGCGUCGAGCGAAUACCCCCGGGGGUAGAGCACUGGAUGGGCUAUGGGGACUCACCGUCUUACUGAUCCUAACCAAACUCCGAAUACCGGGGAGUACUACUCGGCAGACACACGGCGGGUGCUAACGUCCGUCGUGAAAAGGGCAACAACCCUAACCUCCAGCUAAGGUCCCCAAGUCAUGGCUAAGUGGGAAAGGAUGUGAGGAUCCCAAAACAACCAGGAUGUUGGCUUAGAAGCAGCCAUCAUUUAAAGAAAGCGUAACAGCUCACUGGUCUAAAUAAGGGUCUUUGCGCCGAAAAUGUAACGGGGCUGAAGCCAUGCACCGAAGCUGAGGAUUUGCAGUGAUGCAAGUGGUAGCGGAGCGUUCCGUAAGCUGAUGAAGGGAGACCCGUGAGGGCUCCUGGAGGUAUCGGAAGUGCGAAUGUUGACAUGAGUAACGAUAAAGAGGGUGAGAGACCCUCUCGCCGAAAGACCAAGGGUUCCUGCUUAAAGUUAAUCUGAGCAGGGUUAGCCGGCCCCUAAGACGAGGCGGACACGCGUAGUCGAUGGGAACCACGUUAAUAUUCGUGGGCCUGGUGGUAGUGACGGAUUGCACAAGUUGUUCUGGUUUAUUGGAUUAUCAGGGCAGCGGAGCGGUUCCAGGAAAUAGCUCCACCGUAUAGACCGUACCCGAAACCGACACAGGUGGUCAGGUAGAGUAUACCAAGGCGCUUGAGAGAACUAUGUUGAAGGAACUCGGCAAAUUGCACG